rnacentral:rRNA from 1 species
UGGGAAGUAUUGCAUCAAUGGCAGGCAAGCCAUGACUGCAGCCAUGCCGCGCUGUAUGAAGAAGGCCAAUUCGGGCCUGGUAAAGUAACUUUCAGCGAGGAGGAAGGCAUUAAGGUUAAUAACCUUGGUGAUUGACGUUACUCGCAGAAGAAGCACCGGCUAACUCCGUGCCAGCAGCCGCGGUAAUACGGAGGGUACAAGCGUUAAUCGGAAUUACUGGGCGUAAAGCGCACGCAGGCGGUCUGUCAAGUCGGAUGUGAAAUCCCCGGGCUCAACCUGGGAACUGCAUCCGAAACUGGCAGGCUAGAGUCUUGUAGA